GGAGGAGCUUCCGGCAGGCCCCGGCGGCUGAAAGCUGGGGCAGAAGUGCUGGUCUGGGUCGGGGAUCCGGGGUCAGUCCCGCCGAGGCGGCGACUUCGGUAGGAGGGCGGAGGUUUUGGACGCGCUGGCCCCCACCGCUGUGCAGCGAUAUUUCUCUUCAAAAUGAACUAUAUGCCCGGCACCGCCAGCCUCAUCGAGGACAUUGACAAAAAGCACUUGGUCCUGCUUCGAGAUGGAAGGACACUUAAAGGCUUUUUAAGAAGCAUUGAUCAAUUUGGACUUGGAAAAGGAGAGUGACACACCCCUCCAGCAAGUAUCCAUCGAAGAAAUUCUAGAAGAGCAAAGGGUGGAACAGCAGACCAAGUUGGAGGCAGAGAAGCUGAAAGUGCAGGCCCUGAAGGACCGCGGUCUUUCCAUUCCUCGAGCAGAUACUCUGGAUGAGUACUAAGUCUUGCCCAGAGGCUGUUGCUCUUGAAGAGUAGGGGCUGUCACUGAGUGAAAGUGACAU